UUUACCUUCGAAAAGUGGUGGCGGCUGCAGUCUGGGCCCAGGCCCUGUGCCCCUGAAGACAUGGAGUUUGUGUCUGGAUACCGGGAUGAGUUCCUUGAUUUUGCUGCCCUCCUCUUUGGCUGGUUCCACAAGUUUGUGGCUGACCGUGGAGCUGUGGGAGCCAGCCUUGAGGGCCGCUGGCGACAGCUGGAGACUCAGAUCAGAAGGCUGCCCCAGGACCCUGCCCUCUGGGUGCUCCAUGUCUUGCCCAACCGUAGUGUGGGCAUCAGCCUGGGGCAAGGGGCAGAGCCAGGCCCUGGACCAGGCCUGGAGGCUGCCCGGCUCCUGGGAGAUGAGCCCCCACUCCACCUGCGAGACCUGAGCCCCUAUGUCAGCUUUGUCAGCCUGGAGGAAGGGGAGGAGGAGGAAGAGGAAGAGAAUGGAGGGGAGGUGGGUGCAGGCACAGAGAAGGUAGGACCAGAGGAAAAUGGGGAGCCAGGUCCUACCAGCAAGGAGUCCCCCCAGGAAGCAAAGCCUCCAGGAGAGCCAGAAGAUGGUGAGCAGGAGGCAGGAGGUGGUGAGGAUUGCUGUCGAGAGGACAAGGCAGAAGACGAAAAAGGGCCUGAGAGGAGGAAGGGUCGGAGAAAUGAGGCUGCCCCGCUGCACCUUUCCUGUCUCUUACUGGUGACAGAUGAACAUGGGACCAUCUUAGGCAUCGACCUGCUAAUGGACGGAGCCCAGGGGAGUGCAGGCAGAGGCUCAGGGACAGAGAACCUGGCUCCCCGAGCCUACAUUCUCCUUUGCCACAGCAUGGCCUGCCCCAUGGGCUCUGGAGACCCCCGAAAGCCCCGGCAGCUGACUGUGGGAGACGCCCAGCUGCAUCGAGAGCUGGAGAGUCUGGUCCCCAGGUUAGGAGUGAAGUUAGCCAAGACUCCAAUGCGGACAUGGGGCCCCCGACCAGGUUUCACCUUUGCCUCCCUUCGGGCUCGAACCUGCCAUGUUUGUCACAGGCACAGCUUUGAAGUGAAGCUGACACCCUGUCCCCAGUGUAGUGCUGUCUUAUACUGUGGAGAGGCUUGUCUCCGGGCUGACUGGCGCCGAUGCCCAGAUGAUGUGAGCCAUCGAUUUUGGUGCCCAAGGCUUGCAGCCUUUAUGGAGCGGGCAGGAGAACUGGCAACUCUGCCUUUUACCUACACUGCAGAGGUGACCAGUGAAACCUUUAACAAGGAGGCCUUCCUGGCCUCAAGGGGCCUCACACGUGGCUACUGGACCCAGCUCAGCAUGCUGAUCCCAGGCCCUGGUACCCCCAGGCACCCUCGGGGCAGCAUACCAUCCCUCAGCUUUCUUCUCAGUGGAGAUCCCUACCAGCUUCUCCAAGGGGAUGGGCCUGCCCUGAUGCCUCCUGUGCCCUCAGAUCCACCCAGGGGCCUCUUUGGCUCUUGGCAGGAUUACUACACAUGGCGGGGCCUCAGCUUGGACUCCCCCAUGGCUGUGCUUCUGACCUACCCACUGACUGUGUACUACGUCAUCACUCACCUGGUGCCCCAGUCCUUCCCCGAGCUCAACAUCCAGAACAAACAAUCGCUGAAAAUCCAUGUGGUGGAAGCUGGGAAGGAGUUUGACCUUGUCAUGGUAUUUUGGGAGCUGUUGGUCUUGCUCCCCCACGUGGCCCUGGAGUUGCAGUUUGUGGGUGAUGGCCUGCCCCCAGAAAGUGACCAGCAGCAUUUCACCUUGCAGAGGGAUGGCCCUGAAGUGUCUGUCCGCUCAGGCAUAUCAGCACGGCUCAGCUCAGGAACUAAGGAGAAGGGCAGUCGCAGGGACUUGCAGAUCAAAGUGUCUGCACGGCCUUAUCACCUGCUCCAGGGGCCCAAGCCCGACUUGGUUAUUGUUCUCCGUGCUCUCCCUCCUUGGCAGGAUUUAACUCUGGCUUUGGUCUCAAGGACACUUGGCUGAGCUCGCUGCCCCGCCUACAGUCCCUCCGCGUGCCCGCCUUCUUCACCGAGAGCAGCGAGUACGGCUGUGUGAUGGACGACCAGACCAUGGCGGUGGCUACCGGCGGGGGCACCAGCCCUCCACAGCCCAACCCUUUCCGCUCCCCAUUUCGCCUCAGAGCCACCGACAACUGCAUGCCCUGGUACUGCAAUGCCUUCAUCUUCCACCUGGUCUACAAGCCUCCGCAAGGGAGCGGGGCCCGCCAGGCGCCCGGGCCGGCGCCCCCAGCCCCAACUCCCGCCGCUCCUCCGGCCCCCGCCAGACGGCGCCGCGGAGAAAAGAAACCUGGGCGGGGGUCCCGCCGGCGGAGAUGAGGGACAAGCUAUAGCAGGGCACCCCUCUCCCUACACACCUCAGAAAGGGAAACGAAACACCCACCGCCAAGGGGGAGACCGGUUGAUGGAACACGAAAAGGUAAAUAAAAUGACUGUUCGAAACCA